UGAUUUAAAAUGCCAGAGGCUCUCUGUUCUUAUUUGAUUCAACCAUUUUUCCUGAAUAAACACUCCUUUGAUGGUUAAAAGCCCAAGUUCUGAAAAAGUAGCUUUUGACAAUUUUUUCCAGUGUUCUCAUUACUUUGUAGAGGAGUGGAUUUUCAGAGGCCCUUCCCCUACCAUUCUGGAAGUAGACCCCCCUUCUUCUGGAUUUCUACUCUGGAGAGCUGGGCACAUUGAGAAUGGGACUCAAGUCAAGCACUUUCAAGCUUAUAUUCUUCUCAAGAUGAAUCUGAGUUGCCUACUUUCCACCCCUUACUUCCAGGAGUCCCAUCCAGAUGUUAAUAAAGGGUCCCUGGAAAUUGUUCUAAUUCUUUGCAGUUGAACAUCUCAGCAAGAAGAUAAAAAGCCCUAGAAUGCUCAAGGCACCGAGGUCCCCUCUGGGACUGCUUCAGACCUGAGGAUGCCAAGUCUGUGUAGUCCACGGCAGGUGGAGGAAGUCCUCCAUGAUCUGGGGUUUAUGGUGUAACAAGGGUACCAGAGCAGCUGUGCUUGGCUCUCAGUAGGAACUUACUUGUCAAACAGGGUUUGGGUCUUUGGUCUGUGACAUCACUGUAACCCCUUCCUGACUCACAGUAAGCACUAUAUAUGAUUUUACCAUUUUUUCCUAUCCUAGGAUAUAGUUUUAUUCCAGUAAUGGACUGAAGGUAAUAACAACAACAACGAAAAAAACCCGAACAUCAUCAUCACCAUCAACUAGGAAAACAAUAACAAAGUGUCUUUAGUAAUAUUUUCAAAACUGGUCUUAUAAUAUGAAGACCUCUUAUCAUUUAUUCAAGGCUUAAUAUGUCAGACAAAUUGCUAAAUACUUUGCCUAUAUAUCUUACACAUUUUACUCUUCAACACAGGUCUCUGAUAUAGAUACUAUUCCCUAGUUACACAGAGGUAGAAUCUUGGGCUGAGAAAGGAAAAGUGAUUUUCCAGAGUCACAUAGCAUCUGCAUGGCUGAAUGGGAGUUUAUCACCUGGUCAUUUUCUUCCAGAGCCAGUGUUGGUAACUACUAAACUCUCUUAUAUCAGUAAUGUAAACAAUUUUUUCUAAACCAGUGAUAUUUCUUAUCAGCAUGACCAUUGACUGAAUCAUUGAGUUGGGAAGGGAAUUGUAUUUUUUCAGCAAUUAUUAAUUUAGGAAUUGUAAUUUGUAAAGAGGCUUGUUCAGGUCAGAGACAUGAUUAACAAAAAUUUACCAGUUUUUAUCUGCCAGUGAUUACAAGUCCUCCUUGUGUGGAAGUUCCUCUCCUUUGUCAGGCCAAGAGGGGAAGGAUAUUUGGCUGUGUGUGGUGAAGACUCUCAGAUGGCAGGGGUAGGAAAGGUGAUUUUUUUCUGCUAUGGGAGAAAACUUGUCUCAGCAUACUGAGGCUGUUAGGUUCUUUAGGAGGUCAAGGCCAUAGAGGGCUCAGCUCCUUCCAAUGGUUAGGAGUCAGGUUUAUAUAUACCAGGAAGACAGGGUCUGAUCAAAUGCAUCUUCCUCUACUUUCUUCUCCCUGCUCCUUUCCCCACCCCACCCCCUAACCCCAUCUCUUUCCUCCAGGAUCACUCUAAGUUGUGUCACUCCCAAGAGAAGUUGCUAAGAUGGCUUUUGUUCCAAGUGGCAUAAGCUGUAUUUCUCCCAGCAUCAGGCAGCCCCUCACCCAAGACAAACUGUGCCGCCCAUCAUGUGCCCUUGGUACUUUUUGAAUGAUUCAGCUUCAUAGGUUGAAUUCAGCCCUGUCUGUGGUUCUCACAGGAACCUCGGUAUUCAACAGCCUGUUUUGAACCAUCCUUCUUCUGCCUGCCCUACUGUCUGUUCUCUGAUUAUCUCUUUGGUACAUGUUCUUGGUCUUAUAAUAUUUGGUAUUCAAAUUUUGUUCUUCUUAAAAUGUUUAAAUAGAAAAAUAUGAUUGCUUUUA